UACGAAGGGGGCUAGCGUUGUUCGGAAUUACUGGGCGUAAAGCGCACGUAGGUGGCGACGUAAGUCGGGUGUGAAAGCCCCGGGCUCAACCUGGGAAUUGCAUUCGAGACUGCAUUGCUGGAGUACGGAAGAGGAGGGCGGAAUUCCCGGUGUAGCGGUGAAAUGCGUAGAUAUCGGGAGGAACAUUAGUGGCGAAGGCGGCCCUCUGGUCCAGUACUGACACUCAAGUGCGAAAGCGUGGGGAGCAAACAGG
rnacentral:rRNA from 1 species